UAGGUGUGCCACGGGGCCCACCUUUGUUUGUUGUUCCCCGGGUGGUCCAAGCCUAACUCGUCUCUCUCUCUCUUUCUCUCUCUUCUCUUUCCCUCCCUCACACUCUCUUCCUUUUCCUCUUCUUCCCCGAGCCUCUGUGUUCUCUCAUCUUCUCGUCGAACACACACACACACCCAGUCACCGCACACCCUUCGUAGUACUCCGUCAACGGCAUCACCAUCACCAUCUAAACCUCGUCUUUCUCUCCCUUUCUGUUGGUGCAGCUAGGACAGUGGAACCCAGGAACUCUACGGCGAGUUCUCUUGAUCCUUCUCCGGUUAGGUUUUAGAACGAGAUCGACCCGGGGGAAGGCACACCCAGCUCUGGCGAGGCCGUGAGUGUCGAGGAACUUUCCAAACACCUCCGACCAUUUCACGGCAAACGGAAGUUAUAAAAACAUUCCUCUCGUCUUGUGUUUCA